UAAGGAAGUGUAAGGUGUGAAAAUGAGGCAUCGAAGGGGAUGCAGUUGAAGGAAAAUGUAGAUAAGUAAUAGUGU